ACGCACGCUGGCGGCAGGCCUCACCCAUGCAAGUCGCGCGAGGACUUCGGUUCUAGCGGCGGACGGGUGAGUCACGCGUGGGAAUGUGCCCUUCUCUACGGAAUAGCCCUGGGAAACUGGGAGUAAUACCGUAUACGCCCUAUUGGGGAAAGAUUUAUCGGAGAAGGAUCAGCCCGCGUUGGAUUAGGUAGUUGGUGGGGUAAUGGCCUACCAAGCCGACGAUCCAUAGCUGGUUUGAGAGGAUGAUCAGCCACACUGGGACUGAGACACGGCCCAGACUCCUACGGGAGGCAGCAGUGGGGAAUCUUAGACAAUGGGGGCAACCCUGAUCUAGCCAUGCCGCGUGAGUGAUGAAGGCCUUAGGGUUGUAAAGCUCUUUCAGCUGGGAAGAUAAUGACGGUACCAGCAGAAGAAGCCCCGGCUAACUCCGUG
rnacentral:rRNA from 1 species